AGUUGGGCACUCUAAGGCGACGAGCGGCCGGUAAAUAACCGGAGGAAGGUGGGGAUGACGUCAAAUCAUCAUGCCCCUUAUGACCUGGGCUACACACGUGCUACAAUGGGCGGUACAAAGGGUCGCGAACCCGCGAGGGGGAGCCAAUCCCAAAAAGCCGCUCUCAGUUCGGAUUGCAGGCUGCAACUCGCCUGCAUGAAGCCGGAAUCGCUAGUAAUCGCGGAUCAGCAUGCCCGCGGUCCGAAUACGUUCCCGGGCCUU
rnacentral:rRNA from 1 species